GCCGCCAAAACAAGUUUCAAACACUAUCUUUUUCAAAAAUUCAGAUCAAAAGUUUUCGCAAACACGAAAAACCACUUUCCAUUUCAGAAACAUAGAGAUGAAUUCGUCGAACCCGAAGAACGCUGGUUCAUCACUGGAUGCAUUGAUGACUUCCUUCAAUGCUCGCAUUCUAGAGCUUCAACAACUCGUAAUCGCUAGAAACAUGUAUCCAGCGAGCAGUAUUCCAGAUCUUUCGGAUGUUGAUGCUGCUGUGAGUGCUUUGGAGCUUCAGGUGCAAACCAUUAAGGACUCCUUUCGCAAUGAGAUGGAAGCUAUUCCUAAAGCAAAGAAAUGUAUCGAUGCAUGCAUGCAGCAGCAAAAGAAACUGCAGAAUAUGUCUCUUUACAUUCCUUCCCAAAUGGCUGAUAAAACUACACUGUCAAAUUCAGAAACCAGUAGAGUUUUGUUUCCUGAAUUUUCUGGACUAGACUCUGGAUCAUUUGAGGCUUCAAAACUUGAUGUGGAGCCUGUUGCAUUGCCUAAGGAGAAAAAAGGCCGUGGUCCCCCACCAACAUGGUAUGUCACCGGAAGUGAACUAGAUUCCUUGUCAUCAUAUAUGAGGGGUAGACUUACUUUAGAGAAGGUGAAUGCAGCAAUCACAGAUAUGGCGUCUUAUGCGGAAGCUAAUACUCAGCUUAUCGCAGCUCCCAAAAAGAAGUUGUUUUUGUUUGAUCAUGAAGUUGGCAGAAAAUCUUUGGGAAAAAGCUCUGGAAAUAAGAGAUAUUGCAACAAUGGAAGGGAUUAAAGGAAAACACUUUUUCCUUGAAGCUGAUAUAAAAGGUCCAGCACUUAAACUUGACAACACUGGAAAGGCAAUAUUGACAGUUCUUCGACACCUUGGCCGUUUUAAUGAGACUCGUGUUGGGCAUCAUCGUGUUUUCAUUCUACAUAAGCCUCAUUAGGAAAAGUUAACAUUGACCUUUUGCUACAGAUAAAUUGUUGAGACUAUUAUCUGAUAAAACACAAAUGGUUGGUAUGCACGAGUAAUGUAAACUCUAGACUAUCAAGUUUAAUUCCUAUUAUUUUAUUUAGAAAAGUAGUUGAGAUUAUUUUACUUUCAUUUUGACCAUUAAUUUGUAAAUUCAAGUUGUUUUUUGUGUGUGGAAGUUUACUCUCACUUAGAUUGAUAUAUCUUCCAUAUGGGAAAACGUGUGUAUCCAUCUGCUUACAUAUGAAUGCAAAGAAAAAAUC